GCGCUUGCAAGGCAGGCGCCUGAACCACUGAGCUAAAUCCCCGGCCCUGGCUUUUUUUUUUUUUUUUUUUGAGACAGAGUCCCACUAUACAGGCCAAGCUGAACUUGAUCUUGCUAUGUAGCCCAGGAUGGCCUCAAACUCACCUGCCUCAGCCUCAUAGGUACGGGAAUUUCAGGAAGGAAGCCUCAGGUCCAGACAAAAGAGAAGAUUUGAGCGUGGGAUGGUGAUGGACGCCUACAAUCCCAGCUCCGUGGGAGCCAGAAAGUUGUCUGCAGGAGACUAGAAUCUUGAAGCGCAAGCCCCCAAUCUGGAUCCAACUACACCUUAAUAGGCUGCCCCAGAAGUCGCACAUUUCCAGAAAGAACAACUUCUCCCUUGCUUUUUAGCUGUGUGAACCUACACAUCUCUGAACCUGUUUCCUGUUGUAUCAAACCGUGCAGUAAAGUUUACUCCACAGGGGUACUGUGGGGACGAGAGCUAAGGCCCGAAAACCCCUUAACGAGGUUUGAUGCCGGCUGAACGUUCAAUCAGUCAUACUUAUUAUUUAUAUUAUGAUUGUUCUUAGUCUAACGUAUCUAGCUCAGUGAUUGGCAGACAGUGGGUACUGAAGGUGGCUAUAACUAUCACUGCCUAAAAACUCUAGAGCACAGAGCCUGGCAUUUAGCAGGUGCAGAAUAAAUGGUAGACAGCUUUUUUUUUUUUAACCUAAGGACAAAAAAAGCAUAUUUUCAACCCCAACGUCUCUGUGAAGUUACGGUACUCGUUUUUGCUCGGCAACAGGCUCCUCUUACGUAAUCCUUCUCGGCCAAUGAGCAGAAAGGUGGGUGGAGUUUUAUCCGGCAGCCAAUAGCAGCCCUCAGCGGUGCGUAGGGUAGGCCCAGCAGGUUUGCAGCCUUGCUACUGAAGCGAAACCAGGCGGCAGUUCGAGGGGCGUGGAGUGUCUCCAAAUUCCCCAGCCUCUGCCCGUCAACCGCGUUCUGAUUGGUGCGGACCUUGGCGACUCACCCUCCGCCCGUCCCUCCCCUCCCCGCCCGGCUCCGCAGGAAGGGG
rnacentral:lncRNA from 1 species